rnacentral:lncRNA from 1 species
UCCCAAUGAAGUCAGCCUCCGGAUGACUUCUGACGAGGUCGGUCUCCGGAUGACUUCGUGAGAUCGACCUUCGGAUGACUUCGUGAGGUUGGUCUUCUUGUGAUGAUGUCGGCCUCCUCGUGAGGUCAGCUUCUAGAUGACUUCAUGAAGUCGGCCUCCUUGUGAGGUCAGCCUCCAGAUGACUUCGUGAGGUUGGCCUCCUUGUGAUGAUGUUGGCCUUCGAAUGACUUCAUGAGGUUGGCUUCCUUGUGAGGUUAGCCUUCGAAUGACUUCGUGAGGUCGGCCUUCAGAUGACUUUGUGAGGUUGGCCUCUUUGUGAUGAUGUCGGUCUCUUCGUGAGAUCGACUUCCGGAUGACUUCAUGAGGUCGGCCUCCUUGUGAUGAUGUCGGCCUCCUUGUGAUGAUGUCAACCUCCAAAUGAUUUCGUGAGAUCAACCUCCUUGUGAUGAUGUCGGUCUCCUUAUGAGGUUGGCUUUCAGAUUAUUUUGUGAAGUCGGCCUCCUUGUGAGGUCGGUCUCCGAAUGACUUCGUGAGGUCGGACUUCGAAUGACUUUGUGAGGUUGGCCUCGUGAGGUCGGCUUUCGGAUGAUUUCGUGAGAUUAGCCUCAUGAGAUCGGCCUCCAAAUGACUUUGUGAGGUUGGCGUCCUUGUAAUGAUAUUGGCCUCCUGGUGAGGUCGGCCUCCAGAUGACUUCGUGAGAUAGACCUCCUCGUGAGGUCAGUCUUCGAAUGACUUCACGAGAUCGGCCUCCAGAUAAUUUUGUGAGGUCGGCCUCCUUGUGAUAAGAUCGGCUUUCUCGUGAGGUUGGUCUCCGGAUGACUUCUUGAGGUCGUCCUUCGGAUGACUUCGUGAGGUCAAUCUCCUUGUGAUGAUGUCGGCCUCCUCGUGAGGUCGGUCUUCGGAUGACUUCGUGAGGUCGGCCUCCUUGUGAUGAUGUCGGCCUCCUCGUGAGAUCGACCUUCAGAUGACUUCGUGAGGUCGGUCUUCGGAUGACUUCAUGAGGUCGGCCUCCUUAUAAGGUCGGCUUUCGGAUGACUUCGUGUGGUUGGCCUCGUGAGGUCGGCCUCCGGAUAACUUCGUGAAGUUGGCCUCCUUGUGAUGAUGUUGGCCUCUUCGUGAGGUCGGCCUUCGGAUGAUUUCGUGAGGCCAGCCUUCGAAUGAUUUCGUGAGGUCGGUCUCCUUGUGAGGUCGGCCUCCGAAUGACUUCAUGAGAUCAGCCUUCUUGUGAUGAUGUCGGCCUCCUCAUGAGGUCGUUCUCUGAAUAACUUCUGAGGUCGGUGAUA